UUCUUACUCUCCUUAGGCUGAUGAAGGCUUUUAGUAAAUACUUCUGUAGUUCUGGCUCUUCUGUUGGACUCUUGAGAUUUGUUUCUUUGAGUCCUUUCUUGUCAAGGCGGAAAACUUCUCCAAGCCAUACUGCAUUGCAAUGGUAGCUGGAUGUUCAAAGGUAACUGAUGGUCCUGUCAGAUUUACUGUCGCGUUUGUGUGCUUGAACAACCAGGGCCUACUUCCUGAUGAACAUUUGUUAACUGGAAUGAGUAAAAAAAAAAAAAAAAAAAAACACCAAAAACCAAAACAAA